UGAACCAAUGUUUUAUUUUUUAGAGUGCUAUAGGAUGGCUUAAGGGUGAGUAAAGCUUGGGGUAAUUUUCAUUUGAAAGUGAACUAAUCCUUUAAAAACGCCUACUCUUAAUAAAUUAAUUGUGUGUGUAUUAUACUUUCUAAUAAAGCCAUGAAAAUUCAUACCACAGUUUCAUUUCCACUAAAUUUAAUCAAAGUAUGCAUUGUAUUCAGUAGUAUUCUUUGAUGGAAAUGACAGAAGUGGAAAUUACAUUGAUGAUUGAAUGAUUUGUCUUGCAAAGGGUCAUUUUAUAGCAUUUUUGUAUUGUAAUUAAAACAUUUUCACACAUAGCUUAACUGUAAAUGCCACAAAAUAAUAAUGACAUUUACCUUGAUUUUACUUUGUUUUCUCAUGUUACUAAUGCUCUUCUCAUUGCCUCCUUGGCAACAAGUCCUACUAACUUUAUUGGGGCAAAACUGUUCUGUGUUGUGGAAAUAAAAUUCACAAUUGUUUUAUUGAUUAUUGAUUUAAGCAUUAUUGAUGAAUGUGUGAAAUAAUACAUAAAAAUAUAAGGCAACAAUUAUAAAAGCAAUGGAAAAGUUUCCACUUUAGUUUCAAUGUGAUCUUCAUAACAAAACAAAAGUUUAUAUUUGUUAGUUUUAAUAAAAAUCAAUCCUUGCAACAUUCCCGAAGUGCCUGAAGUUGAAGAAAUAUUCUCUGUUCAUAAAUAAACAUGUCUAAUAAACAAAAUUACUCACCUUUACAAUGUAGGGAAAUUAGGAUCUUCAGCAUUUUGUGUCUCUCCAGUAUCACACAAAGUGUCUGCGAGCUCCCUUCACCUCUGUCUUUGACAUUAUGAAUGCAUAAUUAGACUACGUGAUGGGUGCAAUGUCUCAAAACAGCGGAAAUUGAAUCAAAUCAAACAUAAUCUGUAACACUGAGGCUCAUCAAACAAUGUCACUUGGCAACCCUGGGAACAGUUAGCGAGAACACAGGAAGUUGUCAUUACUGCCACAUAUCGGGUAUAUGAGGCUCCCCAAGAACAUAUGGAACAUAUUGGCAAGAUAAGAAGCAAGUGUUUGUUUUGUGUGUUUGUGUGUGUGCGUCUAUGGUUCUGGUAAACCCUAUGCAUGGGGACAAAAUUUUCCCACAAAGAUGUCAAUAUCUUUGUCCUUGUAGGGAUGUUUCGGUCCCUAUGAGGAAAACAGCUUAUAAAUCAUAUUAUGUGAUAUUUUUUUUAAAAAUGUAAAAAUGCAGAAAGUUUUCUGUGAUGGGAAGGUUUAGGGGAUAUAAUAUACAGUUUAUACAGUAUAAAAGUCAUAAUGUCUAUGGAAUGUCCCCAUAAAACAUGAAAACCCGACAUUCAAUAUAUGGUGAGUCAUUUUCAGCAAGACGAGACAAGUGUAGGCUAUUCUAAAAAAGCCAAAGGGUAAUUUCUUUUAGUGUUUAAAGAAUACAAUAUGAUUAAGACAACUAAAUUUCACAAUGUACUAAAGUACGUCUAAAUUUAAACAACGCAUCAGUAUGUGCAGUUUAUGAAAUGAAUACAGUAGGUUCAUUAUGAGAAUAAAUAAAACAUUCAUUUUACAACUUCCACAAAAGAGCCUGUAUCCUGUAGCUCAGGGUUACUCAUUUCUACUCCUGGAGAGUCAACUUCCUGCGAGCUUAGUUUCACACCUGGCUGUAAUUUUAAGUCAACUUAGUGUCCUUUAAUUACAUUCCAAAAAGCCUACAAACACAUCCUGCUUGUUACCAGAACAAUCGUUUAGUGAUUAUUUUCACCAACAGAGGGAGCUACAGACUACACUGAUUACUUAGAGUCGCGCUGCUGCUUUAUCCAUGAAGAACUGAACCUGGAUGAGAGCGGAGCAGUAUCAUUUCAGUUAUUAAAAUAGACACCAUUAUCAGUUUCAAGGUAGUCACAUACCAACAAUUCAAUGUUACAUUAAAGUAAUAUCUGUAUGUACUAUGUAAGAGGGCCUUAACAGUCUUGCACGCAAUUUUAAAUGUUCCCGAAAGUUCUGCCAUCACAACUCGGAGCAAACCCCACUUGUGCUAAAUGCGGGACAUCAUACGUCUUCAGUGUGUUUCAUGCUAUGUAGAGUUAAGACAGUCGGCAGUCAUGAGCACCGCAACUGAAACAGCAGCCUUUUCUCAGUUCUACAAAUUACGCCCCUGUAGUCAUCUUUUUGUGGAUUGUGGACUCCUUGAUUUUCUUACUGGACUGAUGUUUAAGAAGAUCUUUUCUGUUUGAAAAAAACCUUUUUGGAUAACCUCUCAAGGAGAGUUGUUUGUGUUACCUGCUCAGAUCCAUCUAAAGUGCUGCCUAAGACUGUGCUAAUGUUCUGUAUUCCCUUUUUGAAGUAAAGAUCCAAAGACAAGACUCAGA